GGAUCGAUGAUGACCCCCACUAAUGCAUUCCUUGGAAAUCUGAACCAAAUGAGUGAGAAAGCCACUACCGUCUCCUCAUUGGAACUGAGGUCC
rnacentral:snoRNA from 1 species